UUUUCCUACGGGGCGCAGCAGUAGGGAAUUUUCGUCAAUGGGCGCAAGCCUGAACGAGCAAUGCCGCGUGAACGAGGAAGGUCUUCGGAUCGUAAAGUUCUGUUGAAGGGGAAAAAGAGCGGAGAGAGGAAAUGAACUCCGAUUGAUAUCACCCUUCGAGGAAGUCACGGCUAACUACGUGCCAGCAGCCGCGGUAAUACGUAGGUGGCGAGCGUUAUCCGGAAUGAUUGGGCGUAAAGGGUGCGUAGGCGGUCCGUUAAGUCAGCGGUAAAAUUGCGGGGCUCAACCCCGUCGAGCCGUUGAAA
rnacentral:rRNA from 1 species